AUUGCUAGUAUUCGGUUUAGUGAGCUGUGUGGCGUGCUUCCCUCGGACUUACGAGUCUAUCCAAGGAGAAUAUCAUGGACCGGUGGGCCUUUCAAAGCUACGUGGAUGCGUGACGCGGAGGCAACUGCUGAUUUUGAUGGUGCCAGGAUCGUUGGUAGGUCAUCUGCUCAGCUCAGUGCGCAUUCUCAUUUCGUGCGUUUUAAAUUUAUUUAUCCUCUUGUCUAUGGCUUUUAGUUAUAACUUUAACCUAUUUUGGGGAUAUUUCAUUCAUUUUAUUUUGCUAGUUGUUGGUAUCAGGAGAAGUGUCUAUGUGUCUAGCUUCUUACCAUCCAACACGAAGUUGGUGACAGCCGCACGUUGUUGGCAAAGCAGAGGGUACCAAGGUCUGUGCUGUGCUGGGAUACAUUCGUCUCUUCUCGGGGGGCGUCAGAAUCCACCCACAAACCUUUGAGAUACAAGCUGACUUCGACAUUAAUAACUUGAAUAAUGACAUUGCUAUGAUAAAUAUACCACACACCAAUUUCACCGUAACCUCCGGGGAUACUCUUAACGAAAUAUCUCUGGAUGUUUUAAGUAAUCAGGGAUGCGCCAGCACUUACGGAUCCAACAUUAUCAUCGCUUCCUCGUUAUGUACAAGAGGUGCUGACGGUGUUGGCCCCUAUCUCGGGGAUAGUGGAGGUCCCCUUCAAUAUUCCUAUGAAGGCGUCAGAUAUUUGAUAGGUGUCUCAUCGUUAGUAGCAGAAUGUGGUGCGAAGCAGGGUUACCAUCCGGUUUUGCUCGCGUGACGUCUUUCUCCAGUUGGAUACGAGUGCGGCUUUAACUAAUUGUGACUUAAAAAGAAUAUUAAAUAACAUAUUUUACAUAGUUAUAUGUAAUAUAAUUUUCCAGACAGUAUACAACAGACAAUAAAAUAUAUCCAAUUAUUAAUUACCUAUAAUAAAUUCAAUAGGCUGCGUAAUAUCUACAACUAUCUACACAGUGAACAGCUUACGCAGUGUUGAAGAUCCCUCCGAGUUCCGAGACCUAAUACGCACAUUUCAUUCAUCACUCACUCAUUCACUCACUCACACAUUGACGCACCUACAAACGCACUGAAAACAGUUAAAAAUAAUAAAAUAAA